GCGCGAAAACUUUACAAUGCUGGCAACAGCGAUAAGGGAACCCCGAGUGCCAGGUUACAAAUCUGGCUGUCGAGAUGCCUAAAAAGCAUUUCAUAGCAAGGGCCGGGCAAGACCGGUGCCAGCCGCCGCGGUAACACCGGCGGCUCGAGUGGUAACCGUUAUUACUGGGUCUAAAGGGUCUGUAGCCGGCCGGAUAAGUCUCUUGAGAAAUCUGGCAGCUUAACUGUCAGGCUUUCAGGAGAUACUGUCUGGCUCGAGGCCGGGAGAGGUGAGAGGUACUUCAGGGGUAGGGGUGAAAUCUUGUAAUCCUUGAAGGACCACCAGUGGCGAAGGCGUCUCACCAGAACGGACCUGACGGCGAGGGACGAAAGCUAGGGGCACGAACCG
rnacentral:rRNA from 1 species